AGGGGUAUCGCCCAAUGGUUAAGGCACCGGGUUUUGGCUCCGGGAUUACAGGUUCGAUUCCUGUUACCCCUG
rnacentral:tRNA from 1 species